AAUCACUUGUCUUUUAAAUGAAGACCUGUAUGAAUGGUGGAACGAGGGCUUAACUGUCUCCCUUUUCAAGUCAAUGAAAUUGAUCUCCCCGUGCAGAAGCGGGCAUGCCCAUACAAGACGAGAAGACCCUUUGGAGCUUAAGAUGUAAGAUCAACUAUGUUAAGAAUCACUUAAACUAAUUAAACUAAAUAGCAACUGAUCCCCAUCUUCGGUUGGGGCGACCACGGGAGAAAACAAAGCUCCCACGUGGACUGGGAUUUCCCCUAAAACUAAGAGAAACAUCUCUAAGUCACAGAACAUCUGACCAUAAAGAUCCGGCCACCGGCCGAUCAACGGACCAAGUUACCCUAGGGAUAACAGCGCAAUCCGCUUUCAGAGUCCAUAUCGACAAGGGGGUUUACCACCUCGGUGUUGG
rnacentral:rRNA from 1 species